AUUGAACGCUGGCGGAAUGCUUUACACAUGCAAGUCGAACGGCAGCACGGACUUCGGUCUGGUGGCGAGUGGCGAACGGGUGAGUAAUGUAUCGGAACGUGCCCAGUCGUGGGGGAUAACGUAGUGAAAAUUACGCUAAUACCGCAUACGAUCUAUGGAUGAAAGCGGGGGAUCGAAGACCUCGCGCGAUUGGAGCGGCCGAUAUCAGGUUAGGUAGUUGGUGGGGUAAAGGCCCACCAAGCCAACGAUCUGUAGCUGGUCUGAGAGGACGACCAGCCACACUGGAACUGAGACACGGUCCAGACUCCUACGGGAGGCAGCAGUGGGGAAUUUUGGACAAUGGGCGAAAGCCUGAUCCAGCCAUUCCGCGUGCAGGAUGAAGGCCCUCGGGUUGUAAACUGCUUUUGUACAGGACGAAAAGGUUUCUACUAAUACUAGGAGCUCAUGACGGUACUGUAAGAAUAAGCACCGGCUAACUACGUGCCAGCUGCCGCCGUAA
rnacentral:rRNA from 1 species